rnacentral:rRNA from 1 species
GGUCAACGCUGGCGGCGUGCCUAAUACAUGCAAGUCGAACGCUUCUUUUUCCACCGGAGCUUGCUCCACCGGAAAAAGAGGAGUGGCGAACGGGUGAGUAACACGUGGGUAACCUGCCCAUCAGAAGGGGAUAACACUUGGAAACAGGUGCUAAUACCGUAUAACAAUCGAAACCGCAUGGUUUUGAUUUGAAAGGCGCUUUCGGGUGUCGCUGAUGGAUGGACCCGCGGUGCAUUAGCUAGUUGGUGAGGUAACGGCUCACCAAGGCGACGAUGCAUAGCCGACCUGAGAGGGUGAUCGGCCACAUUGGGACUGAGACACGGCCCAAACUCCUACGGGAGGCAGCAGUAGGGAAUCUUCGGCAAUGGACGAAAGUCUGACCGAGCAACGCCGCGUGAGUGAAGAAGGUUUUCGGAUCGUAAAACUCUGUUGUUAGAGAAGAACAAGGAUGAGAGUAACUGUUCAUCCCUUGACGGUAUCUAACCAGAAAGCCACGGCUAACUACGUGCCAGCAGCCGCGGUAAUACGUAGGUGGCAAGCGUUGUCCGGAUUUAUUGGGCGUAAAGCGAGCGCAGGCGGUUUCUUAAGUCUGAUGUGAAAGCCCCCGGCUCAACCGGGGAGGGUCAUUGGAAACUGGGAGACUUGAGUGCAGAAGAGGAGAGUGGAAUUCCAUGUGUAGCGGUGAAAUGCGUAGAUAUAUGGAGGAACACCAGUGGCGAAGGCGGCUCUCUGGUCUGUAACUGACGCUGAGGCUCGAAAGCGUGGGGAGCAAACAGGAUUAGAUACCCUGGUAGUCCACGCCGUAAACGAUGAGUGCUAAGUGUUGGAGGGUUUCCGCCCUUCAGUGCUGCAGCUAACGCAUUAAGCACUCCGCCUGGGGAGUACGACCGCAAGGUUGAAACUCAAAGGAAUUGACGGGGGCCCGCACA